GUGGGAGAGGUGUGUGGAGAGAUGAGGCGGGAAAGCAGGGGCAGAGGCCGGCAAAGGGUGGGCGGCGAGCGGCCUCGAGCGUUUCGAAAACAGUGUAUAUGUAGGAAGUGAGGUUUUCGAGGGUGGAAAGGCUAUGGCAGCCGCCUAACCGGCAGCUACAUUUUAACAAGAAGAACUUAGCACUCCAAUCGAUCGCCGGCAUCCUUAUCCUAGCAGCGCGGUAGAGGCCGCCGCGCAUCCUACGAGUAGGUUCUAACCCUGACUCCGCCGCCGCCGAUUUACAUGGCGUUCUUGCGCACACAAGAGCAACUAACUAACCUUCAAGCCUUCACCACUAGAGCCGCUACCUCGACCUAGACUUGCACCUCCUCUUCGGCCGCCGCCACCGCGCCUCGCUGAGGCCCUGCAGCCUCAGCAGCCACGACUUGCGGCUCCGCAGGACGCCGCCUCCGCGGCGCGGCCGGCUCCUCCGGAGGUCGAGCUGCGCGGUCGGCCGCGGCCGCGGCGCCCGCCACGAGCUCAAGUCGUAGGACUCCUCGAGCCGCAGGCGGCUCCCGCUCUUGCUGCAGCCGCGGCUGCUGCUGCUCCUCCUCCGCUGGGGGAGCGGAGGCGGAGGCGGCGGCGCCGUGAUGGUGGUCGUGGACGACGUCGGCGUUGUUGAGCAGUGCGUUCUCGACAAGGGUCGGCGCCGGCGGCGGCCGCCAGGCGGCGGCUACGGGCACGGCGUCGUAACCCGGCUCGAGCCGAAGAAGGCGGGGCGCCGCGGCGGGGGCCUGUACUCCUAGGACGUCGACGUCGUCGUCGUCCGCGUGCGCGGCGGGGGCGGCGGCGGCGGCCGGGUCGGCGGCCACCGGUUCUUCUCGGCGGCGCCGGGCGCGAGGGCGUCGAGCGUCAUGGCGCCGCACUGGAAGAUGGCGGCGUGGCCGGCUACCCUUAGGGUAUAGACCCUAACGCCGUUCGUCCACAUGAACCCACCUAAACUGUGACGUGUACGACGACGUUCCCGCAUGCUAGCUCGCCGCUAGUUCAAGGCACCGCAGCUGCGGCUGUAUUUGAAGUUGGAGUCGCUGAUGCUCCUGCUGUACUUCGUCUACUUCCCGGACAGGUUCCUCCUCAAGCACGUGCACGACGCCGCCGUCUCGUGGCCGAAGAGCGCCCCGUCGAGGUUCAUGUCUCCGCAUUGGGACGUGUUCACGCCGGCCACCCUCCGCGCGUACCCGGUCAAGGAGCCGUUCUUCAUGUAUAUAGAACCCGAUAAGCUGUUACUUCAUCUCCGACGUUCCCGAAUGCUGUUCCGCCGCUAGUUUACGUUGCCAUCUCUUCGGCACUGCUUGAAGCUCGGCUCGUGGAUACUACGCCUCGACGAGUUACUUCAACGACGACUUCCGCGUCUACAGCUGGAGUUGAACUCGUAUAGAGUUGGUUGAAGUGUUUCAGGGUUUUCCCUAUUCUCGUCGGAACCGGACGUUGAGGUGGUACCUAGUAUACUUCCGAGACUUGAUUUCUCUGGUUUCCAGCUACGAGGGGGACUCUACCAGCGUUAGGGAGUAGCUAUAGGGGAAGACUGGCUCGUAGGUGGUUAGACCGUACCGGUUAGUAUAGGGGAGAAAAAUUUAUUACUCCUUCGUCGGUCUCUAGUAUCGUCCUCCGGUCUCCACCGGUGUCCCCGACAAGGUUGGACCCGUACCUCCCACUCGGUGGGAGGAGGUUGUGUUGGGUACGGUGAGAAGAGCAGCAGUAGCAGGCGACGUCGUAGUAGUCCUAAGAGGUUUUGGCGGCGCCGUCGACGGGGGCCGCGGGGUAGCCGGAGUAAGGCCAAGCUGGGCUACCGCGGUAGUAGUAGCAGUUCGUUGGUUGUGGUGGUGGUGGUGGGGGCGACUUUUUCUUCGGUAUGACAUUUAAAAGACCCUUCGGUCAUAGAAAAACGGGGAGGCCGCAAAGUCGCAAAAGCCAGAACGCGGCCCCGCCAAAGUACAUCACCUAACCUAAGUACUGACAUAAAGGGUACGACGGGUUCACUUUACAGGGAAGAAGAAACGCGAGAGACGUAGUCGCGUAACCAGGGUAUUAAGAGCUACAGUCUAUGAUUGGAGUCGAGUAGAGUGGUAGACUCUACCUAAAUAUGGUAACAACAUCUGUUUGGACAGUGACUUUAAGUCGUCAUGGCUAUGGUAUUCUAUUCUCCUUGGAAAUGAAACCCUUAAUAAGGUCAGGGAAAAGAA
rnacentral:rRNA from 1 species